CCCUACGGGGGGCAGCAGUGAGGAAUAUUGGUCAAUGGGAGAGAUCCUGAACCAGCCAAGCCGCGUGAGGGAAGACGGCCCUAUGGGUUGUAAACCUCUUUUGUCGGAGAACAAAACCCGGGACGAGUCCCGGACUGCGUGUAUCCGAAGAAAAAGCAUCGGCUAACUCCGUGCCAGCAGCCGUGGUAAUACGGAGGAUGCGAGCGUUAUCCGGAUUUAUUGGGUUUAAAGGGUGCGUAGGCGGUCCGUUAAGCCAGCGGUAAAAUUUCGGGGCUCAACCCCGCCGGGCCGUUGAACCUGGCAGA
rnacentral:rRNA from 1 species